UACAGGAUAUAAUAAUUCAUUAUGAAUUUUUAUAAUUGUACCAGGUCUGAUUAAUUUACCGUGCUGAAAGCCUUCGAAGAUGAGUAUGGAAUCUGCAAAUUUUAAUUCCAGGUUGUAACCAAUGAUGUAAUCCCACUUAUAAACGAAGACCAUUUCCAAAGCUUAUUGGCUUUCUAUCAUCCAUACACACUUUGGGCACCACUCUACCCUGGAUACCCGAAAGUCAACAGAAUCCCCAGAGGGGGAGUGAGAAUAGAUGGGACAAGAGACACCGGAGAUGGAGACAAGACAGGAUUCUAUCAAGUCUUGUUUAUUCAAGAGAAUAAUCCAGGCAUAAAGUCCCUAACUGCAACACGAAGAAAAGUCAGAAUGUUCAAACCAUGGGAACAAUGGAGCAAUAAAUCCGUGCAGAGUUAGGAUGUGAGCGAUCAGAACAGCAUGAGGAGCCAAACACAGCAGGAUGUGCAAAACUGAAUCAGGGAGCAGUAAGUAUCCCACAAAAUUAUUAUAUUUUAUUGUGUAGAUAUGAUUUUAUACACCAGUAUCCCAUACUGAAUACACACUGUUGUGAUUUUAUAGAACCGAUUUAACAUUGACUUUUCUAAUACAAAGGCCUAUCAACAUUACUGUACAGUAGAAAAUAAUUAUUUUUUCUUAGCCUCCUACAUUUGUUAGUGGUUUUCUCCUAAUUGUGUUAAUUGUAGAGAGUUUUCCAUCUUUUUGACAUGCCAUGGAGGGAUGUCAUUAUGCUAAGCAUUUUCAUUGUUUCUUUGCUUUCAUUUAUUUUAAUGGGCAUUUAAGAUUUAUAUAAUUUU